rnacentral:rRNA from 1 species
CGCAUCUGUGCAUGCAGCAUAUCAAUAAGCGGAGGAAAAGAAACUAACAAGGAUUCCCCUAGUAACGGCGAGUGAAGCGGGAAGAGCUCAAAUUUGAAAUCUUAAAGGGUUUCCCUUUACGAAUUGUAGUCUAAAGAAGUGUUUUCUGUUGAGGUUUUGGUAAAAGUUCUUUGGAAUAGGACAUCAUAGAGGGUGAGAAUCCCGUAUUUGACCUUUACUUUCAACUUUGUGAUACACUUUCAAAGAGUCGGAUUGUUUGGGAAUGCAGUCCAAAAUGGGUGGUAAAUUUCAUCUAAAGCUAAAUAUUGGCGAGAGACCGAUAGCGAACAAGUACCGUGAGGGAAAGAUGAAAAGAACUUUGAAAAGAGAGUUAAACAGUACGUGAAAUUGUCAAAAGGGAAGCGUUUGACACCAGUGUUGUUUUUCUGAAAAUCAAUUAAAGAACUGUUUAUGCUAAGCUGUUUAGACUUUAUCAGCUAUCUGUUUAGUUUUGAGCUUUUCUUUAAUGCACUUUUCAGUUAACAAGUCAACAUCAAUUUCUUUUGCUGUAAAAAAGCUUGAGGGAGGUGGCUUGAGAUUCGUCUUAAGUGUUUAUAGCCUCCUUGCCUAUGCAGUCGGAGAGAUUGAGGUCUGCAGCGUAGAUCCUUCGGGGCUAAAUGCAUUUGUGCUAAGUUAUAGCAUUUUAUAGACAACUUGUUGACUAUGAUUUGUCUUGUAGCUUACUCGCUUAUGUUAUUUUACCUACGCUUAGGAUGUUGAGUCGUAGAGCACGCAG